UGAACGCUGGCGGUAUGCUUUACACAUGCAAGUCGAACGGCAGCACGGGGCAACCUGGUGGCGAGUGGCGAACGGGUGAGUAAUAUAUCGGAACAUGUCCGGAAGUGGGGGAUAACGUAGCGAAAGUUACGCUAAUACCGCAUAUGCCCUGAGGGGGAAAGGGGGGGAUCGCAAGACCUCUCGCUUUCGGAGUGGCCGAUACCGGAUUAGCUUGUUGGUGAGGUAAAGGCUCACCAAGGCGACGAUCCGUAGCUGGUCUGAGAGGACGACCAGCCACACUGGAACUGAGACACGGUCCAGACUCCUACGGGAGGCAGCAGUGGGGAAUUUUGGACAAUGGGCGAAAGCCUGAUCCAGCCAUGCCGCGUGAGUGAAGAAGGCCUUCGGGUUGUAAAGCUCUUUCAGCCGGAAAGAAAUUGCACUUCUUAAUACGAAGUGUAGAUGACGGUACCGGAAGAAGAAGCACCGGCUAACUACGUGCCAGCAGCCGCGGUAAUACGUAGGGUGCGAGCGUUAAUCGGAAUUACUGGGCGUAAAGCGUGCGCAGGCGGUUUUUUAAGUCAGAUGUGAAAUCCCCGGGCUCAACCUGGGAACUGCAUUUGAAACUGGAAGACUAGAGUAUAGCAGAGGGAGGUAGAAUUCCACGUGUAGCAGUGAAAUGCGUAGAUAUGUGGAGGAAUACCAAUGGCGAAGGCAGCCUCCUGGGUUAAUACUGACGCUCAUGCACGAAAGCGUGGGGAGCAAACAGGAUUAGAUACCCUGGUAGUCCACGCCCUAAACGAUGUCAACUAGUUGUUGGGGAAGGAGACUUUCUUAGUAACGUAGCUAACGCGUGAAGUGACC
rnacentral:rRNA from 1 species